GUCCCACAUGGGGGUCAUUAAUUGCUGAUGGGACAAGAGGGUUGAGGGAACAGGCUGAUGGAGGCAGCUGAUCAGUCUGUUUCCUACAACCCCACUGGACAUUGCCAUCUAGCCAGGCUGGGAUGAGAGAACUUGGAGAAAACAAGCCUGUUUUUAACUGUUUCAGUCUGAUCUAUUUGCAGGUGAGAAGAUUAUGUUACCUGUAUUUCAGGGCUUGGGAGGAAAAAGGUGUCAAUGUUGCAACAUAAUGAAAUAAAGUCAUAGCCCUAAAUUCUAA